rnacentral:rRNA from 1 species
AUCGGGAGCUUGCUCCCAGAUCUUAGCGGCGGACGGGUGAGUAACACGUGGGCAACCUGCCCUGCAGACUGGGAUAACUCCGGGAAACCGGAGCUAAUACCGGGUAAUACAUCGCACCGCAUGGUGCAAUGUUGAAAGUUGGCUUUCUGAGCUAACACUGCAGGAUGGGCCCGCGGCGCAUUAGCUAGUUGGUAAGGUAAUGGCUUACCAAGGCAACGAUGCGUAGCCGACCUGAGAGGGUGAUCGGCCACACUGGGACUGAGACACGGCCCAGACUCCUACGGGAGGCAGCAGUAGGGAAUCUUCCGCAAUGGACGAAAGUCUGACGGAGCAACGCCGCGUGAGUGACGAAGGCCUUCGGGUCGUAAAGCUCUGUUGUUAGGGAAGAACAAGUACCGUUCGAAUAGGGCGGUACCUUGACGGUACCUAACCAGAAAGCCACGGCUAACUACGUGCCAGCAGCCGCGGUAAUACGUAGGUGGCAAGCGUUGUCCGGAAUUAUUGGGCGUAAAGCGCGCGCAGGCGGUCUUUUAAGUCUGAUGUGAAAGCCCACGGCUCAACCGUGGAGGGUCAUUGGAAACUGGAGGACUUGAGUGCAGAAGAAGAGAGUGGAAUUCCACGUGUAGCGGUGAAAUGCGUAGAUAUGUGGAGGAACACCAGUGGCGAAGGCGGCUCUCUGGUCUGUAACUGACGCUGAGGC